CCGGCCUCGGCCAGCCCAGAAAAGGGCUCCCGCAGUGCAGCGGCGGGCUGAAGGGCUGCUGAAGCGCGGCAAGAGUGGGCGCCUAGGCCAAGGAGGCGCGGAGAGCGAGCGAGGCCUGUGAGUGCUGCCAGCACGCCGUCACCUCUCAAUAUGACUUAGGGAUCAUGGCUUAUUUGAGCUGUUGCUCCUCAGUGGACAUCAUAGGAUCUUGCAGAUGUGUAUCAAUCCUUCGCAAGUAGGGAGAGCUCCCUUGGUUACGACAGUCUUAAAGAUCUCCUGUUACAUAAAUUUGACAGUAAGUUAUCAACAUUACAACUAAGAAGCCUAACCAUUUGGAAUUUAAAACUCCUGUAUCAGUCUGCCCUGGAGUCAUUCUGGGAUGAGUCAAGUGGUCAGACACUGUCUCACUGGAUGAGAAACAUGAUCAUGUCUGAGUACCAGGAAUAACAAUUCUAAAAAUGGACAGAUCUAAUUCAUUCAAUAUUUCAGUGAUGGCCAAGUGACGCAUGCUGGGAGGGCUCAACCUCUACGCCUGGAAACUUGGCUCUUUGGGAAGAUGUGGCAAUGCAAAUUUGUUGAAGAUGAAGGAUAUAUCACUCUUCUGGAAUGAAUGGAAUGAAUGGAAUGUCUA
rnacentral:lncRNA from 1 species